UUGMUWUACAAAGGUAUUGAAAUAAGACUUUAAUUGAGUGCUAAGAGAAUGGAAUUUCAUAAAAUUUCUUUUUUAAUUUUAAAAAUUGAAAUUAAUUUUAUAUGUGAAGAAACAAUAAUAAAAAUUAAGGACAAGAAGACCCUAAGAAUUUUAAAAAUUUCAAUAUAAUAUAAUAUUAUAUUGAAAUUUUUUAAUUGGGGCGAUUAUUAAAUAUUAAAAACUUUAAUUUUUUUAAAAAAGAACCAAUAUUAUUGGUUAUUUGAGAAAAUACUCUAGGGAUAACAGCGUAAUAAUUUUUGAUAGUUCUUAUAGACAAAAUAGUUUGCGACCUCGAUGUUGGAUUAGGAUUCUUUUUUAAUGAAGAAGUUAAAAAAAGAAGUUUGUUCAACUUUUAAAAUCCUACUUGAUCUGAGUUCAGACCGGA
rnacentral:rRNA from 1 species